rnacentral:rRNA from 1 species
UCCUACGGGAGGCAGCAGUGGGGAAUUUUGGACAAUGGGGGAAACCCUAAUCCAGCCCACCCGCGUGGUGGAUGAAGGCCUUCGGGAUGUAAACUGAUUUUGAGUGGAAAGAAAGGGCAUUUAGUAAUAACCGGGCGUUGACGUACCGCA